ensembl:lncRNA
GAGGUAGAGAGGAGGCGUGAAAAAUGGGGUACGCAAGAGAAAAGUGUCAAGGAUGACUCCUAAGUGUUCUGAGUCAAAUAACCAUAUGGGUGUUGGUACCAUUCACUGAGGGAAGGAACUCUGGAAGACAGCCAGGUUUAGGCGGACAGAUUAUGAGUUCCACCUGGGGGGCCAGACCAAGCAGGACCAGAGGAGGCAACAAAUGCCCUUCCCUCGUCCUCCCUCCCUCCCAGCCACUGCUCCAGAGCUUCGGCCCUCUUAUAAGCGCCCAACUCUUCGUCCGCUUUCUUCACCAGCUCCACGCACAGCUGUGCGGAUGAGGCUCUCAGAGGAGCAGUCCCUCCACCCCGCAGCCUGGGCCCGGCUACUGCAUGAACGGGCAUCUGGCUCCCCCUCGUGGUGACAUCAGCACAUUGGCGCGCUAGGUCAGCUCGGAGCUGCCGGGGCCAGAGGCAGGGCUAUGGCCGGCGUCCUGGUCGAGAGGUCAGGAAGUGUGUGUCCAGUCCUGGCCAGUGACUCACUCUACAACUGUGCGCUGUUCCCCUGACCUGUAUGUGCUCCGAUUUCCUUGCCUGCAAAUUAGGGUUAGUGAUCUGGGUGGUGUUAGUGGUAAAAAAUCCUCCUGCCAUGCAGGAUACAUAAGAGACGCGGGUUUGAUCCCUGGGUCGGGAUUCCAGUAUUUUGGCAUGGAAAAUCCCAUGGACAGAGGAGCCUGACAGGUUGCUAUCCACGGGGUCGCAAAAGAGUCGGACGUGAU